UCCCCGGUGGUCCAGUGGUUAAGACUCUGCACUUUCGCUGCAGGAGGCACAGGUUUGAUCCCUGGCCGGGGAA